UCACUUCACAUUCAGAAAUGCCGCGCUAUAUCAGCCGUGCCGGUCUUGACCGGAUAUGGCGAUAAAUGGCUGCGUACAAUAGAUGCAACGGACCCGGGGGCAGUACCCGGCGGCUCCACCAGAAUCUGCGGCUCGCCGCAUGUCCUGAUGGGGCCGAACCAGGAUCGACGUGUGUUGAAAAGCGUAGUUUUUGCCCGGGCUGAGUAACCCGCAUAAGGCUCAAAACCCAUAAGUGCCAACGACAACGAAGCACUUGCUCUCGCCGCGUAAUGUGACGGCUUAACGGCCUGAAUUUACAAAGCUACGAGCACGGUUCGGACCGAACCGGGUAACAGAAUCGGAGACC
rnacentral:tmRNA from 1 species